UUAAUUGGUGAAUUGUUGUAAUUAUUGUCGUUAAUAGACUAAUAGUGCUGAAAAUCAAAGGGAUGAUUGUAGAAAAUCAUGAGGUUUGAAUCGAAUGAAUGUAUGUUGAGCACAAAGGAAAGGUAUUACAAUAAUAAUGUAAUGAAGAAUAAGAAAUCAAUAAAGAAGCAGAAAGUAUACAUAGUUUAUCAGUCACCUCUACAUAAAGUCAUAACUCAUGAGACAAAGGCUAAUCGAUGAAGCAAUUCAAGACAGAAAACAAUAGAUAACUUAUUUUAUUUUUUGUGAUUUUUAAUAUUAAAUUUAAAAUUAUUAUA